GACUCGUCACACUAUCAUUAACUGAAUCCAUAGGUUAAUGAGGCGAACCGGGGGAACUGAAACAUCUAAGUACCCCGAGGAAAAGAAAUCAACCGAGAUUCCCCCAGUAGCGGCGAGCGAACGGGGAGGAGCCCAGAGCCUGAAUCAGCAUGUGUGUUAGUGGAAGCGUCUGGAAAGGCGCGCGAUACAGGGUGACAGCCCCGUACACAAAAGCGCAUGUGCUGUGAGCUCGAUGAGUAGGGCGGGACACGUGGUAUCCUGUCUGAAUAUGGGGGGACCAUCCUCCAAGGCUAAAUACUCCUGACUGACCGAUAGUGAACCAGUACCGUGAGGGAAAGGCGAAAAGAACCCCGGCGAGGGGAGUGAAAAAGAACCUGAAACCGUGUACGUACAAGCAGUGGGAGCACCCUUUGGGGUGUGACUGCGUACCUUUUGUAUAAUGGGUCAGCGACUUAUAUUCUGUAGCAAGGUUAACCGUAUAGGGGAGCCGGAGGGAAACCGAGUCUUAACCGGGCGUUAAGUUGCAGGGUAUAGACCCGAAACCCGGUGAUCUAGCCAUGGGCAGGUUGAAGGUUGGGUAACACUAACUGGAGGACCGAACCGACUAAUGUUGAAAAAUUAGCGGAUGACCUGUGGCUGGGGGUGAAAGGCCAAUCAAACCGGGAGAUAGCUGGUUCUCCCCGAAAGCUAUUUAGGUAGCGCCUCGUGAAUUCAUCUCCGGGGGUAGAGCACUGUUUCGGCUAGGGGGCCAUCCCGGCUUACCAACCCGAUGCAAACUGCGAAUACCGGAGAAUGUUAUCACGGGAGACACACGGCGGGUGCUAACGUCCGUCGUGAAGAGGGAAACAACCCAGACCGCCAGCUAAGGUCCCAAAGUCAUGGUUAAGUGGGAAACGAUGUGGGAAGGCCCAGACAGCCAGGAUGUUGGCUUAGAAGCAGCCAUCAUUUAAAGAAAGCGUAAUAGCUCACUGGUCGAGUCGGCCUGCGCGGAAGAUGUAACGGGGCUAAACCAUGCACCGAAGCUGCGGCAGC
rnacentral:rRNA from 1 species